rnacentral:rRNA from 1 species
CCUACGGGAGGCAGCAGUAGGGAAUCUUCCGCAAUGGACGAAAGUCUGACGGAGCAACGCCGCGUGAGCGAUGAAGGCCUUCGGGUCGUAAAGCUCUGUUGUUAGGGAAGAAUAAGUGCUAGUUGAAUAAGCUGGCACCUUGACGGUACCUAACCAGAACUAGCCACGGCUAACUACCGAACUGCGCAGCAGCCGCGGUAAUACGUAGUGGCAAGCGUUGUCCGGAAUUAUUGGGCGUAAAGCGCGCGCAGGCGGUUUCUUAAGUCUGAUGUGAAAGCCCCCGGCUCAACCGGGGAGGGUCAUUGGAAACUGGGAAACUUGAGUGCAGAAGAGGAAAGUGGAAUUCCAAGUGUAGCGGUGAAAUGCGUAGAGAUUUGGAGGAACACCAGUGGCGAAGGCGACUUUCUGGUCUGUAACUGACGCUGAGGCGCGAAAGCGUGGGGAGCAAACAGGAUUAGAUACCCUGGUAGUCCACGCUGUAAACGAUGAGUGCUAAGUGUUAGAGGGUUUCCGCCCUUUAGUGCUGAAGUUAACGCAUUAAGCACUCCGCCUGGGGAGUACGGUCGCAAGACUGAAACUCAAAGGAAUUGACGGGGGCCCGCACAAGUGGUGGAGCAUGUGGUUUAAUUCGAAGCAACGCGAAGAACCUUAC